rnacentral:other from 1 species
CGCCGCCUGCGGUGUUCGAUACUGUAUCGGAUUUUUCUUGGCCUAUGCUUAACCCUGUUGGGGGCAUUACAUCGGUGUUGUGUGCAUGUCCGUUCAUCGGAAAGCCUGAUAUGCCGAUUGUUGUUCCCACCUCAAUCGCUCCGGUCCCAAGAGUGACGAUACGGCCGGCACAGGCGGGGGGCGC